rnacentral:misc_RNA from 1 species
AACGGUCUAUACCUGCGGUACCUGCGGAAGGAUCAUUACAGAGUUGCAAAACUCCAAACCAUUGUGAACUUACCUUUGCCGUUGCUUCGGCGGGCGGCCCGGGUCCCGACCCGGCGCCCCCCGGCCCCGUCAGGGGCGCCCGCCGGAGGUAAACCAAACUCUUGAAUUGUAUGGCCUCUCUGAGUCUUCUGUACUGAAUAAGUCAAAACUUUUAACAAUGGAUCUCUAGAUCGGAAGAGC